GCCUGAAGAUGAGCUCGCGUCUGAUUAGCUAGUUGGUGGUGUAAGAGACAACCAAGGCAACGAUCAGUAGCUGGUUUGAGGGGAUGAUCAGCCACACUGGGACUGAGACACGGCCCAGACUCCUACGGGAGGCAGCAGUGGGGAAUUUUCCGCAAUGGGCGAAAGCCUGACGGAGCAAUACCGCGUGAGGGAGGAAGGCUCUUGGGUCGUAAACCUCUUUUCUUAAGGAAGAAUAAUGACGGGACUUGAGGAAUAAGCAUCGGCUAACUCCCUGCCCGCCCCCGCGGUAAUACCGAGGAUGCAAGCCUUUUCCCGAAUGAUUGGGCGUAAAGGGUCCCCAGGUGGGACUGAAAGUCUGCUGUUAAAAAAACUGGCUCAACCAAAUAAAAGCAGUGGAAACUACCCAACUAGAGUAUGGUAGGGGUGGAAGGAAUUCCUAGUGUAGCGGGGAAAUGCGUUGAGAUUAGGAAGAAAAAAAGUGGGGAAAGGAUUCUACUUUACCAAGACUGACACUGAAGGACGAAAG
rnacentral:rRNA from 1 species